rnacentral:ncRNA from 1 species
GGGACAAGUGGCGUUUAGCCACACGGAGAUUAGCAAUAACAGGUCUGUGAUGCCCUUAGAUGUUCGGGGCCGCACGCGCGCUACACUGACCGGAUCAGCGUGUGCUCUCCUUGGCCGACAGGUCCGGGAAACCCGUUGAACCCCGGUCGUGCUAGGGAUAGGGAAUUGCAAUUAUUUCCCUUGAACGAGGAAUUCCCAGUAAGCGCGAGUCAUUAGCUCGCGUUGAUUACGUCCCUGCCCUUUGUACACACCGCCCGUCGCUACUACCGAUUGAAUGGUUUAGUGAGGUCCUCCGAUUGGACCCGGUCCGGGCGGCGACGUCCGAGCCGGCGUCCGAGAAGACGAUCUAACUUGAUCAUUUAGAGGAAGUAAAAGUCGUAACAAGGUUUCCGUAGGUGAACCUGCGGAAGGAUCAUUA